rnacentral:rRNA from 1 species
GAUGAACGCUAGCGACAGGCUUAACACAUGCAAGUCGAGGGGCAACGGGACGUAGCAAUACGUUGCCGGCGACCGGCGGAUGGGUGAGUAACGCGUAUGCAACCUACCCACGACAGGGGGAUAGCCCGUUGAAAGACGGAUUAAUACCCCAUAAAACAGGGGUUCCGCAUGGGACUAUUUGUUAAAGGGUUCUCCGCGAGGGGGACAUCGGUUGUGGAUGGGCAUGCGUUCCAUUAGGCAGUUGGUGAGGUAACGGCUCACCAAACCGACGAUGGAUAGGGGAACCGAGAGGUUGGUCCCCCACACUGGUACUGAGAUACGGACCAGACUCCUACGGGAGGCAGCAGUGAGGAAUUUUGGUCAAUGGACGGAAGUCUGAACCAGCCAAGUCGCGUGAAGGAAGGCGGCCCUAAAGGGUUGUAAAACUUCUUUUGUAAAGGGAAUAAAAGUGCGUUACGUGUAGUGCAUUGCAAGUACCUUACGAAUAAGGAUCGGCUAAACUCCGUG